GCCGCCGUAGCUCAGCUGGUAGAGCGCCGGCCUCGUAAGCCGGUGGUCGCGGGUUCAAGUCCCGCCGGCGGCUCCA
rnacentral:tRNA from 1 species